rnacentral:tRNA from 1 species
GGGGAUAUAGCUCAAUGGUAGAGUGCUUGCCUAGCAUGCAUGAGGCCCUGGGUUCAAUCCUCAAUACCACUU